UACAGAGGGUGCGAGCGUUGUUCGGAAUUAUUGGGCGUAAAGGGCGCGUAGGCGGCGCCACAAGUCACUUGUGAAAACUCUGGGCUCAACUCAGAGCCUGCAAGCGAAACUGUGGUGCUGGAGUAUGGGAGAGGUGCGUGGAAUUCCUGGUGUAGCGGUGAAAUGCGCAGAUAUCAGGAGGAACACCGGUGGCGAAGGCGGGUCUCUGGGCCGAUACUGACGCUGAGGAGCGAAAGCGUGGGGAGCGAACAGG
rnacentral:rRNA from 2 species